AGUGCAAUAGAGGCGGGGAAAGAAACUGGAAAUUCGAAAAUGUUCAACUUCAAGAUGCCUUUGGGCUAAAGCGAUGAAUCAGGGUGACGGUAGGUAUUAUAAAAAUGAACGUGUGAAGUGGAAGUAAACCAGUUACGUUGGUGCCUUCAAACUGACUCCAUCGUCGGCAACAUAUUGCAUCGGCGAAAUAUUGCAUAUUCGGCUGUCAAUCAUGCAUAAGACAAAGUCGUUCAUUCAUUUUUGCAUUUUCCAGCAGCCCUACUAACUACAAUGUUUCCCCCACUAGUUCAUUGUAUGGAUCGAUUAUUGAACUGUUUAAUUUUUGAAUUUUUAGGGGACUACGAUGUCACGCUGCUGUUUGCUUUUGCCAUUUUGAUGGCUACAUCGGCGGGUACCGAUGGGUUUGUCCUCAUCUGGACACUAGACUACACAACCCCUACGCCCUACUACACCACCUCGUAUGCUGCUCCCUCUUACAGCACCAAGGCUCUCGAAUAUUAUACCACAUAUGCAGCUCCCAGCUACUACACCGAGUCUCCCAACUACUUAGUCUACUACACGACCAGAACGCCCAAAUACUACACGACCAUAUACUCCGCUCCAACAUACUACACUCAAGCCAUUAAAUACUAUGCUGCUCAAAGGGGGAAAAUAUAACUUUUUGUUCGAAACUGUGGCUAUUGAAAUAGGACUAAUGCAGGGAAACUUAUGAAGACAAAACCAAAAUCAUGUCUUGAGUUCUUUGAGAUUCACUUGAACUUAACACCAGAGAAGGACCUGCCUUUGAUCAGAAACAGAACUGGUGAUAUCCAUAGCAAAAUAAACUGUGAACUUUUACUAUUAAAAAUGGAGAAGUUGUGCAAUGUAGGACCACACUCAAGACACAAUUAAAUAGGAGUGCCUUGUAACACAACUUUAUUGAAAGCAAACUUUGACAGUACAGAAAUUGGUAUGCAUUUUGAUAACAGGAAACUUUUCCUAGUUAAGGUGAAAAGACCGAAUGGUAUAGUGAUAGUUA